AGGGUGGAAGUGGCCAGUUUAGGGUCUCAGAGGGCGAGUACGGGAGAUGACAGAGUUAGAAGAUACUAGGGGGUUGGGGGUACAAGGAGAAGGAAGUUUAAAGGGGAGACUAGAUCUUGGGGAGACUGUGCUGGGGAGAGCUGCGUUGAAAGUGCCCGCAGUAGCCCAGGGGGACAACAACGCUCUAGGCCAGGCUGUCGCUGCUGCCCGCUGGGGAAGGGGAACUUGACCUCUGGGAGGACGCAGCUCCCGCAUGGGCUCAGCGAUCCCCCAGUGCCCUGGUUUCUGUGGAAAGAGGAAAGCAGAGACGGAGGAGUUGGAGGAGAUGAGGAUCUCGCCAUCCGUGUUGGAGAGGAGGCAAAAUUGAGCGGUUAAUGCCCUGAAAAUGAUCAGGAAGGAAGGCAGUGGGGUGCAGGGCCGCAGGUGGGCCGGGAGGGCAGAUCUUGAACUUGUCGAUAUCAGCAGCCCCCUUUUUUUCCAGACUGAGGGUUGUGAACCCGCCUGGGGAUGAGGCCUGGUGUUGUGGAAACUGAACUUAGCUUCGCGGGGCUGACAGCUCUGGCCCAGGGUGGUGGCAGUGCUCCCCUUUGGACUUUUCCUCUAGGUUCGGUGCUACCUUCUUCUGUGAGCUCAGUCUGCCCCCCCUCUUCCCUUUAACUCUCUCGAGGUUAUCCCUUCACUUAAAACCUUGCUUCUGGUAAUCUGGUAAGCCUGGGAAAGCUGCUGAAGUCCCUGUUGGAGUCGGCAUUGUUGGUAAUCGUGAAUGAGGAAAGGCUCUCCCCACGGAGACUCUGGGUGGGGCGGGUUGGUGUUGCUUGCCGGUGGAGAGGGUGGGGAUUGAAUGCACCCUUGGGUGGGCCUGCAGCUAUGGUACCAGUUGAAAGUGGUAAAAAUGCCUCAUGGACCAUGGUUUGUUACUGUAGUGUUCAUCAUGGCGAUCAGAUGGCACCAGGAGGAAUGGAGCCCCUGGCCAGUGUGAGUCAUAGCA